rnacentral:tRNA from 1 species
AGGAAUUUAGGUUAAAUCAGACCAAGAGCCUUCAAAGCUCUAAGUAAGUAGCCAUACUUAAUUCCUG